rnacentral:rRNA from 1 species
AUUGAACGCUGGCGGCAGGCCUAACACAUGCAAGUCGAGCGGAAGCGAUCCUAGCUUGCUAGGAGGCGUCGAGCGGCGGACGGGUGAGUAACGCGUGAGAAUCUACCCAUGAGUGGGGGACAACCCGGGGAAACUCGGGCUAAUACCGCAUACGCCCUACGGGGUAAAGCAGGGGACCUUCGGGCCUUGCGCUGAUGGAUGAGCUCGCGUCGGAUUAGCUUGUUGGUGAGGUAAAGGCUCACCAAGGCGACGAUCCGUAGCUGGUCUGAGAGGAUGAUCAGCCACACCGGGACUGAGACACGGCCCGGACUCCUACGGGAGGCAGCAGUGGGGAAUCUUGGACAAUGGGGGCAACCCUGAUCCAGCCAUGCCGCGUGUGUGAAGAAGGCCUUCGGGUUGUAAAGCACUUUCAGCAGGGAGGAAGGCUUACCCCUAAUACGGGUGAGUACUUGACGUUACCUGCAGAAGAAGCACCGGCUAAUUUCGUG